rnacentral:piRNA from 1 species
UAGUCUCAGACUUAAACUCUUCGCG